CACUUCAUUUUAAGCGUUACAAUCACAAUCUCGUGAGCUGCAUACACAACCGACGAUGGAUUCAACUCGUUGUUGUCGAUAAAUGUGCAGCUGCGUUUCAACAGGCUGUGCGGAGAUAUACGCAUAGGUAUACUGGAAGGGCAUCACAUUUAUCGGCGUUGCAGCUUUUUCCCUCAAGGGCACGCAAGGCGCAACAUGGUAUUAGGAUUUUAUACGGAACCUCACGGCGACGCUGCCGACGACGACCAAGGCGCAAGUUCACCUGGAGUGGCCAUAUAAUUGCUAUCGCGAUAAAAAAAACGCAGGUCC